rnacentral:lncRNA from 1 species
CAGGCUGGAUAAGUGGACACGACUUUCACGGAAUGUGUUUUCUGUGCAGUGAAAGCGUAUUUCCUUUGAAGGCGUGAUCUGUUAAACCAUCCAAGGACCUAUUUGUAGAGUUCAUUUUACAUAUUGGUCCCUGAGUUUCAUCUAGCUAUAUCUUUUCAACCACAACUCCAAAUGAGGUGAUUCCAAAGCCUACUUCUUCGUCUCUUAGAUCCCUAUCCGUUGGUAUCACUUUUACUAGGUGGUCCCACUUUGGAAAUGACCAUUUUGCCCUUGCCCUUAUCUAGCCCCCUCUGGGAGAGAACUGUUUCAGGAAAAUCUUUCUGCAAUCCUUCUGCACUUCUUCCCGGAGACCUCUUCAUUCCCAGGCAAGCCACGACAGCCACUUGCUUGAUGGCCAUGUAGUAGCCAUGGUUUUCAACUUGAAUAUUUAAAUAUUGUGUGUUGGUUAAUACUUUGUGAAUGCUUUAUAUAUGCUUGUGAAUCCAUGCUUAUCUUUAUGUGCUUUGCACCUAUUAGUUAAAUGAUUACCUGCUGAUGUUAUUAUCAUGUUUUGUUAUGCUAUUAUUUCGUGAUGCUAGUGGUCAGGCUAUGUUCUUAUGUAGUGUUGUUAUUGUGUUAUUCAUUGCUAUGCCAUUCUCUUGUGCAUCUAGUAGAGUAAUGCUUUAUUGUUAUUCAUGUUAAAUGGUUAUGUUGCUCAUACAUGUUCAUGAUGAUAUCCUCCUCAUACGCAUGUCGUUGCAUCAUGCUAUUUUAUUAUUAUGGCUUAGCUCAUUAACAUUCAAGUUAAACCAGGAUGUAAUCAAACUUGAACAUAUGUUGGCUAAGUCAUAGUGCCAUCGAAACCGAACUGACCAGUGCAACCACCUUUGCCUUUAUGGGAAGGCCAUGAUUGCGUCUAUUGUCAUGCCUCUCGCUGGUGCCUCCAAGUAGGGAAGGUUAUACAAGAGUGCUACCCUAAUCCGGUAGGCCGGUAUAAGCCUUGUGUGCCCGAGUUGUAUGGAUCCAUUGUCCCCGUUUGGGACAGUUUUGUUUUGCCACAACAGUGGCUGUUGGGUGUCACGAGGUGACAUCGGGGCCACCCAUGACUUAGCCCAAAGGGGAGUUUGUUGGAGUGGCCGGGGGAGUGUCAUCGCGAUAGAUCGGUUUUGUCGGAACAUUGUUGGUCCACCUGAAUGGGAGUACGAGGCCAUGGGUUCUGUGGUGUGGGUAUAGUGUGCUAACCUCUGCAGAGUGUUUAAUCUAUCGAUAACCGUGCCCGCGAAUAAGGGCUCAGUUCAUAGUAGGUAACACUAUGAGUCAACAAUAAUAAUAACCUAACUUAAUAACAACCCCGGUUCGAUGAGGAAAGAAGUUAGUUAAUCUUUAUGUGGUCACGGGAGGAUCACGAUUAUAUUCUUGAUAUUGAUGAGGUGAUCUUGUGAGGAUCACGGUGGUAUUUUUUUAUUGAUAAGGUGAUCUUGUGAAGAUCCUAAUGGUAUUCUUGAUAAUGAUUGAAGUGAUCCCGUGACCAUGAUGGUAAUUAAGAAUGGCAUAUAUUUGGUGGUUACGCGGUAGCCCCAAACAGAGUAAGUGAUAUUUGUUUCAUGUUGCAUGCUAGUACCAUCAUUGUUCAUGUCUCGAGUAAUAUGUUCAAGCCAUGUUGAAAAUGUUCUUGCAGUAUCAUGUUCAUCUUAUACAUGCCAUGUUGUUCUAGUUCUAUCAUGCUCGUGCUUGUUUAACCUGUAAAUGACAUGCUAUUGUUUCUCUAGAUUUCUUUGGUUGUUGUGAGCUUACAAGUACAUUCACUGUACUGACCUGGUGUGUCAUGCCAGUUUGCAGGCCAUGCUUUUUCUACUUACUUGUUUAUUGUGGAUCCCUUGUUGGCGAGCUAGGAUAAGCAUUCCAGCCAGAGUCCCUACGGAAUGGAGUCCAUCGCUGUCGUCGUGUUCUGCUGCUAGAAGUUAUUCCACUGCUAUGAGUUGUUCUCCUGCUAGCAUAGAGCAACCUUGGUAGGCAUAGUGUCGUCGUGCCGAUGUAAUUGCUAGUUAUAUCAAAAUCCUUGUAUCCUAGAGUAUUUGUAAUAAAGAGUUGAUUUGUUCUAUGCCUAGCAGUGCCGUAUUCGAGAAGACUUGAUCUCUGGGCUGGAAUACGGGGUGCCACAAAUAGGUGAGGUUGCUCCUUUGUGAGUCCUUCAUGGGUGUGAACCCUUAGUGGACUCGAUUCCUCCAUGGAAUAUCGUAACCAAGAUCUUC